rnacentral:rRNA from 1 species
ACACGGGGGGCGCAAGCGUUAUUCGGAAUUAUUGGGCGUAAAGGGCGCGUAGGCGGUCUUGUCGGUCAGAUGUGAAAGCCCAGGGCUCAACCCCGGACGUGCAUUUGAAACAGCAAGACUUGAGUACGGGAGAGGAAAGCGGAAUUCCUGGUGUAGAGGUGAAAUUCGUAGAUAUCAGGAGGAACACCGAUGGCGAAGGCAGCUUUCUGGACCGAUACUGACGCUGAGGCGCGAAGGCGUGGGUAGCGAACAGGAUUAGAUACCCUGGUAGUCC